GGAUCAGAUGUAAUAUCAGUGACUGGUAGACUAGACAGUGGGGCAUUUCAGGUGUGGGAGAUGGGAGGGCAAGAGAUUAAAUCCAGGCAAGAGACAUGGGGACCCUAGAUUUCCACACACACAUAUAAAGAAAACUUAUUUAGUCUAUUUCCUGGUAUCUAUCUAUCUAUCUAUCUAUGAAGUCAUAGUUUGCUUUAUUUUUAUACCUAUGCAUAUACUUUGAGCAAUGCUACCAUCCCUGUGGUGGUCUGAGAUACUAGCUCAUGUCUUGCUGUCUCUUCCUUCCUUCUCUUCCCUCCCCUUCUCAUCCUUUGACUAACCUUUGGGGCUUUUGGAUAGAAAUGAAAGAGAGAGAGAGAGAACAAAUAACACACUCGCAGAAAGGGCAAGUGAGUCCAUUGUUAGAGAUGAUACUAGAUCUCUACAGGUUUUUCACUGACUGAGAUUAUGGGGAGUUGAGCCUGCCCAUUCAUCCCCACGCUGUUCUGGAGUGGAAUCCAGUGGCUCUGAAGCAAUCCCGCUCCAGAGCAUCUAAAGGGAGUGGCUGAAUGUUAGCUGGAGACUAACAGUCAUGCCUGUGCUGGCCCGUAGCACCUUGACCCAAGAAACUCCUAGAAGGAAUAGUGUGGGGUGGAGACGUCUGGGGAGAAUUUUGUGAGGCCGCCACCUGGAAUUCAGUCCCAGAAAAGAUCUGGCCUAGUGAUCCCGGCUGCAGAUUCCUAGAAGUGUGGUGGCAUGCAGCAUUUUGUGCCACAUUUUCAGUUAUUCUUGUGAAUUGGAAAAGUAAAUGCCACCAGAGAGGAACUGGCACAGUCCUGGGACACUAUCUGUGAGAGGAGACCCAAGCGGUAAUGUUAGGCAUGGCUGGGAGCCUGAGGAUGGGUAGAAGGUUUCUCCUGAUGUCUUGCCUGUACCUUUUAUAGGACUGCACCACCUUUUAGAAGAGUUUCACCCAGACACUGAGUUUCUGGCAUAUUUGAGCAGGAAACAUUGUGUGCCACCCUAAGAAUUCCAGACCUUACAUAUACUGGAGGGGCCACGCCCUUGCAAGCCUUGGCAGCUGUCUUCUGGGUGCUAGCCAUUUCCUCUUACCUGCCAAGAGCUCCGAGGGAUGUGUUGGCAGAUGGUGCAGGGUCAGAUGGUGCAAGCAGCCAGGAGAGUGCCUGGCUGCCAUCUCCUUGCCCUAUCCUUUCUCAUGAACUAGAACAAAAAGGCAAUACUGAUCCUCCUCCCCAAAGAAAAUAUGAUACCACCCAUGAGUUACUGUCUUAGGGAAUUUGAACCUGAAAGGAGCUAAGAGGUCUUAUGAAUGGGGAGGGUUCUGUUUACAUAUUUGGGUGUUCUGGGAAGAGUAGAUUGGGGUGGAGCUGAAAUCUGACUCCCGAUCAUCACUUUCUAUGAACCUGAUGGGAUCCUGCCACUCAUGAAGGGCUCCAAGAUCAGUUGCUCACAAUGCUUCCCAUUUUCAAUGGCACAGUGGAACAUGAGCUUGGAGGGGCUUCAACACUAGACUCCUGUGGAACUGUCCAUUUUGGCAGGUGACAGAUCAUUCCAGAGUGUCUUCAGGAGGUCAGGGGAGUAUGCAAUAAGAUUCUUCAGAGAAGUUGAGCAUGAUAAAGCUCACAUUCUAUGUCCUAUCCCAGUGUGUGACUUCCUCUAACCUACCAUAGCAUCCACACAAGCAGGAGUUUACUUCAUUGCACUGUUGACUCUUGACUCUUGGAGUCACCCCACCCCCACCCCCAUGUCUCCAUAGCCUAUUUCUCCCUCUGGCACACAUACAACCAGCAGAAUCGAUUACUCCAGCACUAUAGGCACCUCGAGACUAAUAUUCCCAGUAGUCCCAGAUUUACUCCCAAACUCCUUUCCUUCUACGUCCAACCCGAGGCUUCAGCCUUAGAAACCUCAGCAAAAGGGAUUGCUGACCUCCACAAACCCACCCAAUUCCUCAGUGGGCUACGCUUCACGUUUGGGAGGAAAGGUAAGAUGAGGGUCAUAUCCAUCACCUGGAAAUUUUGGAGUUUGGGAAGGACUUCUGCUCCCUCUUUUCUUGGCCAUGAGUUAGUGCUCAGAAAGGUGAUGGUGGCUAGAAUGUUCGAGGGGUAGCCCAACAUAAAUUUCUAGUUUCUCUAAAGGACCAGGGACUUCCAAAGGCAUGUGGGGCAACGUGGUUUGAAAUUUGAUUGUAGGUGGAACAAGCAAAAUUUCCUGUCUUAUGUAACCUUUCAGUUAGUGGAAUGGAUUGUCACGACCAGGGAUGAAGACUCUGUCCUGUGAUUGGAACACGCCCCUUUGGUAUGUUACAUUUGGUAGAAGGAAUAUUGAACGUUGGUGCUUUUACCCUUUGGUAGGAGAUAGGGGCUCUAUAGCUUUGUUAUAGUUUUGCUACUUUUCCCCACCUAUAUAAAAAAUAAGAUUUGGGAGUAGACAAAUCAACUGGGAAUUCCUCUCUCAAGACUCAGUGUGGGCCCACGUGAUUACUUUUUAUCACCAACCAGGAGUUUGAUUGCUCCUUGGUUUUGUUUUUUGUUGUUGUUGAGGCUCUACCUCUGCUCUCUGCUUAGCUGGUCAUGUAGAGCCCCUUGGGGAAAUGUAGACGUUAAGAGUGGGAGGGACAGGAGAUCGACGCAGCACUUUUCUUGUAGGUAAGGGAUUGACUACAGUGUUGGAGUAUUGUCCGGGAAAUGACUACUGUGUCUAGGGACUGGGGAUGGGUAUUUUAUGGAAUUAUCUUGAUCACUGGAGGGAGGAAUAGCAAAUUAAAUUGCUAUUCAUCAAGUUACAUGGAUAAAUAUAUUUCUGUAUCUCUGGAUGUAUCCAAUGUUGAAAAUAGACUUAAUUUCCUAACUACAAUUCCACCCGGACCUCAUUUCUCAACUACUAUUCCAUCCAGACUUAUUUUCCUAGCUAUGAUUCAUGGGCCAAACGACCAAGGGCGUAGAUGGGUGCUGCUAUCGCCAUUGACUCCUUCUUUUCCCAAGCCUAAUUGAAAGGGGCACAUCCUCCUUCAUGCCCACCACGUCUGGUCCCCUUUUUCGUCAACAGUUUUCCUCCCCCAGGAAAGACUUUAUCAUUCUGGAUGUAAUUCUUCCACUGCACACAUGGGGGCAAUUUUUAUAUGAACUUCUUUCCCUCGUUUCACCCUGUGGUUUCUAAGCCCACAGAAGGGUCGGGGGAUGAGCAGGCAGUGGGUUGGGAGGGACUCCGAUGCUGCCUUUCCAAGACUCCUUAGGAACUUAGUACCUCUCGGCACCCAGUGGCCUCUUACAUCAGUCUGUCUUUUCUGGUAAGUCUGGAUGUGAGUAUCAGUUUCGUCAUGGGAUUUCUUACUCUCAUUUCGAAAUUUUUUCUCUUCCUUAACUUUCUUUGGGGGCCACCCCUCAUCAAUGCCAGACGAUGUUCUGGUGAAGACCAUUUGAACCUCGUUUCCAUUUCUCGAAUGUUGAGUAUUACAAUGUAACUGCGCCAGGGUGCUCAAUGGUGCUGUUCUUGAAGAGACCAGUCGGACUGCGAUUGCCUUCCUUCUUCUGGUUCCUUAAAUCUUGCUGUAUUUUUGUCUUCUAUUUAAUUUUUUUCUCCCUAGGGGUUUGGGGUGGGAAAUUUAGGGGUGGUUCUGUGUUCUCUUCGUGUGUACGGGCCGGUUCAAAUCACUUGUAAUGGGAAGCUGGCUUCGUGGGGGUGGUUGGCCGGCUUUGGUUCAACAUUAAAGACAGACCAACAAAUUGUACAGCUGCACAUAGAAGAACACCACGGAGUGGGAAUAUGAAUGGCAACUAGAAGCUUAGUUUUUAAUCUUCAGGUAUGUAACUCAAAAGUAAAUAAAAACGCUAUUUUUUCAGUAAGCAUUUUUUUUCUUCCAAAAGACAACUUAGAAAUAUAAACUUUAGGAACGUUAAAUUGGUGCUGUACCAAAGCCUUAUAUGAACGUGUUCUAUACUCUGUAUACUCUGUCUCUGUUGAGCUUCCUGCUCUCUCACCCUGUUCUCAACAGCCUGGGAAUGCCAGCUGUGCCAAGCCUGAGGCUGGGUCUUGGGCACCUGUGAGCCAAGGGGAAGCCUUGGAGCAGAUGGGGUGGUGGUGGUGAGCAUGUGGGCCACCAUUCUAGUUCCUAAGUCAAGUGUGAAAGGAAACCAGGCGUGUGUGCGCACAUCCAUGUUUAUGUGUGGGGGUUGAUGCGCGUGCUUAAAGGUACCAAUGCCAAAGUGAAUCCAUGAACUGGGCCCUGAAAGGGAGGUCCACGUUGGCUCGGGGAGUGGAUGGAGUGGGAUGGGGAGAGUGCUUGCUCCCCUGUGUUCUGUCUCCCUCCCUUUUCUCUACCAGGGAAUGGAGACGCACUGGAAACAGCUACACUCUCAACCAGGUGCUUUUCCCUCAAACUAUCCAAACUCUUAAGGAUUUACAAAAGGCCCUUCCAAGGGGCGGGUACCUCCCACUAUCAAAUCACAGGCUUGCAGACUAGCAAGGGCCUUUUCUCCUACCCAAGCUUUCUUGGUUUCUUAGGGGAGAGGGCUCCUCUUGCAGGUCCCUGGGCUCCCCGUUCUUGGGUCCAGGCCUGCUCUAGCUGCCAUCACUCCAGGUGGACUGCUAUGGACUGACCUGCCCCUUUCUCUCAGUCCACAGAGAUGACCACGAAGCAAUAAUGCCUGCCCUGGCUAUGGAGAGUAGUGGCUCCUUUGGCCUUUGACUCUUGCCAGUUGACAAACUAAAUGACACCCUCACUUCAAUCAAUUAGGGAGCCAAUAUGCAGCCUGCUUCGUACCCAGGCUGUCAUGCCAGGCUCCACUCGCUGGCAUUUUCAGGCUUGCUGAGUACUAACCAAUUCAUCACCAGUGACACUCCAUAUCCAUCCUGAAUUGAACAUUAAAAUAAGCAAACACAGUAAAAAGGCAACUCAGAGGACUAGUGAUAUGGUCGAUGAAGGCCCCUGGAAGUGUUGCAAGUUAGACCAAUUGAGAGAAGUUUAGUGUUUAAUUGCUUCUCAUGUAACAUUACUCUGCUUCAGAAAUGUUUUGUAUUUUGAUAUAAAUAAACAUUUGCUAAAACAUG